rnacentral:piRNA from 1 species
UGCAUAAAACAGUCUUUGCUUUUGGGAG